CAAAGCAUAGCUUAAAUAAAGCAUCCGGCUUACACCCGAAAGAUUUCAAUUACAUUGACUGCUUUGA
rnacentral:tRNA from 1 species